GACGAACGCUGGCGGCGUGCCUAAUACAUGCAAGUCGAACGCAGUGGGGACGGGUGAGUAACACGUGGGUAACCUCCCAUCAGAGGGGAUAACACUUGGAAACAGGUGCUAAACCGAUACUGAUGGAUGGACCCGCGGUGCUUUAGCUAGUUGGUGAGGUAACGGCUCACCAAGGCCACGAGGCCUAGCCGACCUGAGAGGUGGAUCGGCCACACGGGAAAUGAGAAACGGCCCAGACUCCUACGGUAGGCAGCAGUAGGGAAUCUUCGGCAAUGGACGAAAGUCUGACGGAAAAACGCCGCGUGAGUGAAGAAGGUUUUCGGAUCGUAAAACUCUGUUGUUAGAGAAGCGGUAUCUAACCAGAAAGCCACGGCUAACUACGUGCCAGCAACCGCGGUAAUUC
rnacentral:rRNA from 1 species